AUUGUUAUCGAGAUUUGAGAAAGCAAAGUUUGAUUUGAGUGAUUGAAGAUUUAGAACACGAAGAGUAAAUAUUAAUCAGAUCUUAUAUUGAUGAAGACUGAUUACAAUAUAAGUAGAAAGGAGAUAUCUGUUAAGGAAAAAAGUCCCUUUCUACUUCUAACCUCAGUCCUUAUUUAUAGGGAACAUGAGUGUACAAAAAAUAUACUAUGUCUAGACAUUUACAUUUCGCACAAAAAUGACUAAGUAAAAUAACAUAAAAUGCGAAACAAUACAAGACACAAUAUUCGACUUUUACAAUUUUACAUCUACACUUUUGCUUGAUAUUUUUACCACCAAAUACCCCUGGAAGUUAGUUGAUAUGCUACUCAAAAUUAUAGAUUCAAAACAGUGAGUAAACUACCCUUUUCUUACUCUUUUGCUGUGAAGUUUUCGUGACAGCAACAUAGCCAAAACAGUGGCUGUUUUGGAGCAUCAAACCAACACCCAAAAGUUCUUCAUCUUCAACCUUCCAUUCUUCAAGUAUUCACAUAAGGUGAGUUCAUACCCCUACAUUUUCAUGUUUUCUUCAAGUUUUAAGGGGGGGAAUACAAGUUAGAACACUAAACAUAACUUAAAUUUAAAUGACAGCUUUCUACAGAAAAGUUGAGUCCUGUUCACAGACUGUUUUGACGAUAUUAAACUUAAUAUCUUUCAAAACUGUACAAUACAAAAAUAGUUCAAGUUUAUAACUUUUUAAGGACUACUCGCACGCAUUCAUACGAUUUUUCUACAAUUUAUGGCGAUUUUUAUAAAACUGUCUGUCAUUUCAGAAGUGAUUUCGGACCAGUCUAUGAAGUUGUUCAUUUUCACACUAGUUUUAGAUCACUAAAAAUCAUAAUAAAAAUUUGGAACAAAGUAGAAUCAUUUUAUAAACUCUCAGAGGUGACGGAUUCAGUUUUUGACUUACGAUGAUUUUUCAAUUAGUUUUCUAAAAACAGGGAUAGUAAAGGGUAAAACUGUCAAAAGUGGUUUAUAGAUUUAUUAACACCUUCUAACAUUUUUGAGCAAUGUUUAUACAUUAAGGAAGUUAAAACACAAUCAUUUAAAUAUGUUUAAUUACCAUUUUUACAAAAGUGAUAAGUACAAAAAGGUCUUUAGUAUCAAACUUAAGGAUUAUUUCAUGCAAAGUUUCUAAUAAAAACGUAAGAAUAUGAACAACAAUUACGAAACAUACCAAAUCAUCUUUUAAAAUUUAUACAUAUAUAUAUCCAUAUACAUAUAUAUGUUUUGUUUACAAACUUGUCUUCUACAUCAAAAAUAUACAUAUAUAGUUUACGAAACUCUACUCCAUUUGUAUCCUGUUGAGCAAAUGGUAAAGUAUUGUCAAAUGCAUCUCUAGAGAUUUCACGUUGUUUUUCAUAGCUAUCCCAUUCUUAGGGGAUGAUCAUUUAUACAAACAUUUUCAAAACAAAAACACGUAAACUCGUUGAACAAAUUUAGUGAGUUUUGUCUUCACGGUACCUUAUAAAGUACACACGAAAGUCCUGUUAAAUAUAACCAGAGUCUCUUGUAGGGAGAGCGUGAUAGUUUUGUAUAGAUCUAUACUGGGACCGACAAUCCCGCACCUUAGCUUCUUGCAACAGCUAGACCGGCAGGUCUAGGGGUGACAAAUGUCAUAACGAAAUCGACACCUGAAGAACAUUGCGAACAAGGCAGUCUGGGUCAAUCAAGCAUGGUUAUAAGAUAAAAAUUAACACUCACAUAAAAGAACAAUGACACUUUUAGUUUACGCAAAGACAAUAUUCAAACAGUUUUAUAUACAAACAAAACUGCAUAACAUCAUUUUAAGUAGGAAAAUUACUUAUACGCUUCGGUCUUGGUUCAUUUAAGGCCAUAUGUCAUUUUAGGAAAAAUAUAGGAUUUUUCGGAAAACAAACAUUACUACAUUUCAUAGAAAAGGUUUACAAAUAUACAUAGAAAUGCUUAUGAGCUCACCAAAUUAAAUGUUGAUACUCUCUUUUCAUAUAACUAGUAUUCUCAGGAAAUCAGUAAAUCAGGUAACAACUGGCUUUGAGGAUGGGACGCUUAGGCAUCUAAACAAAUCUUUUGACAACAUAUUGUAAUUGAU
rnacentral:lncRNA from 1 species